GAACUGAUAAUCCAAGGAGUGGAAUGACGAGGUAACGCCCUGAAACGCUCCCCCUGAUACUCCGGCCUGCUCCGGUGGGAAACCACUGGUGUUGGGGAGCCCGGUAAAGGCGGCAGAAGGCGGCCGUAAAAGCCAGAUUUGGCAACGAAAACUGCCCAGAGGUGGGCGGCGUCGCUGACAUGCCGGGGGUCUACAAA
rnacentral:ncRNA from 1 species